rnacentral:rRNA from 1 species
CAMAKYAYYAGSSURCUCSMWWCCCGRACCCUCUAKAUGCCCGCUCGCASCGGCYGMMAGUGUGAAGGAUAUCUUURGRWGRSGCCCUUAGAGUUUGAUCCUGGCUCAGAACGAACGCUGGCGGCGUGCUUAACACAUGCAAGUCGAACGUGAUUGAGAGCUUGCUCUCAUGAAAGUGGCGCACGGGUGAGUAACACGUGGAUAAUCUGCCUGGCGAUUCGGGAUAACACUUCGAAAGGGGUGCUAAUACCGGAUAAGCCCACGGGAUUUUCGGAUUCUGCAGGAAAAGGAGGCCUCUAUUUAUAAGCUACCGUAUCAGGAUGGGUCCGCGUACCAUUAGCUAGUUGGUGGGGUAAUGGCCUACCAAGGCGACGAUGGUUAGCUGGUCUGAGAGGAUGAUCAGCCACACUGGAACUGAGACACAGUCCAGACUCCUACGGGAGGCAGCAGUGGGGAAUUUUGCGCAAUGGGGGAAACCCUGACGCAGCAACGCCGCGUGAGUGAUGAAGGCUUUCGGGUCGUAAAGCUCUGUCAGAGGGGAAGAAAUGAAACGUGCUAAUAUCACGUUUUCUUGACGGUACCCUCAAAGGAAGCACCGGCUAACUCCGUGCCAGCAGCCGCGGUAAUAC